UCAGUCAGUCAGGUAAAAAGCGAGCCUAAGCCCAGAGGGCAGCGCAAGAGUACAGAACUGAAAAACAAAAUGAAUCCAGAAAUGAUCAGCUGAUAAGAUCUCAUAAGAUAAAAUUGUCAGCCAUCAGGUCAGAAGCGUAGUAGCUGUCUAGUCUCAGGAUUCUGCGUUGAGAGAGCACUUGCCGUGUUACUGGUAGUUGAAGCAGGAGAAUGGAAGCCAGAAAAGUAGACAGCUCAGAUAUCCAGACAGAUGAAGGGCAAGCG